rnacentral:lncRNA from 1 species
AUGCCAGUCCCAGUCCUGGGAGCCAUUCCCAGUCCCAGUCCUGGGAGCCAUUCCCAGUCCUGGGAGCCAUUCCCAGUCCCGGGACCCAUUCCCAGUCCUGGGACCCAUUCCCAGUCCCAGGUGCCAUUCCCAGUCCCAGAUCCCAUUCCCAGUGCCGGGUGCCAGUCCUGGGAACCAUUCCCAGUCCCGGAUGCCAUUCCCAGUGCCGGGUGCCAGUCCCAGUCCCGGGAGCCAUUCCCAGUCCUGGGAGCCAUUCCCAGUCCCAGGUGCCAUUCCCAGUCCCAGGACCUAUUCCCAGUCCCGGAUGCCAUUCCCAGUCCCGGGAGCCAUUCCCAGUCCCAGGAGCCAUUCCCAGUCCCAGAUCCCAUUCCCAGUCCUGGGUGCCAGUCCUGGGAGCCAUUCCCAGUCCCGGGAGCCAUUCCCAGUGCCGGGUGCCAGUCCCAGCUCCGGGAUUCCCAGCCACAUCCAGAGGGAGCUGAUCCCCCAGGAGAGCCGAGGCUGUGGGUACGGGCAGCAGAGAGGCUCCGUGCGCUGCUCACACCCUCCCAGGCUGCGGGCAGAGGUGCAGCAGGGACGGAUUUAUCCCCGAAGGUCUGGAGAGGGGAAAACCCCCCUGGAGAGGGAAAACCUCCCUGGGGCAGCAGCAACGCUCUGAGGGCACCGAGCCGCUCCGGCCUGGGCACGGAGGGGUUUGGGGGGCGCUGCGCUGCUCCCCAGGGCGGCUCCUGGUGCCCACAGCUGAGCUGGGGCAGGGUGGGCACCUCUGCCCCUUCCCUCCAGGUGAGCCUGAGCAGCGCUGCGGGGUCAGGGCGGUGCCGUGGGGAGGGGCUCAGAGCCUGGCCAGAGGGGGAUGUGCCCUGAGAGCCCUCCGGGAUCCCCUCCUGCUCCCUGGGGGCUGUGGGGAUGGGGAAGGGGCUGCUCCAUCCAUCCAUCCAUCCAUCCAUCCAUCCAUCCAUCCAUCCAUCCAUCCAUCCUCCAUCCAUCAUCCAUCAUCCAUCAUCCAUCCAUCCAUCCAUCAUCCAUCCAUCAUCCAUCCAUCCAUCCAUCCAUCCAUCCAUCCAUCCAUCCAUCCA